AUGCAACGGGUUCAGGAUGAUCAAGAAUACUCUGACCCGAGUGGAGGCUCACCAUUGCACCUCGGUGGGUUGAAACUCGCGCAAAGGACCCCAAUCGGGUGCGCUCAGGCGUGUGGUUUUCGUUAGUGGGGAGGCCUCACGGUCUUCCCUU
rnacentral:snRNA from 15 species